rnacentral:rRNA from 1 species
CCUACGGGAGGCAGCAGUGAGGAAUAUUGGUCAAUGGGCGCUAGCCUGAACCAGCCAAGUAGCGUGAAGGAUGACUGCCCUAUGGGUUGUAAACUUCUUUUAUAUGGGAAUAAAGUGCAGUAUGUAUACUGCUUUGCAUGUACCUUAUGAAUAAGGAUCGCCUAACUCCGUGCCAGCCGCCGCGGUAAUACGGAGGAUCCGAGCGUUCUCCGGAUUUAUUGGGUUUAAAGGGAGUGUAGGCGGGUUGUUAAGUCCGUUGUGAAAGUUUGCGGCGGAACCGUAAAAUUGCAGUGGAUACUGGCAUCGUUGAGGACAGUAGAGGUAGGCGGAAGUCGUGGGGGAGCGGUGAAAUGCUUAGAUAUCACGAAGAACUCCGAUUGGGAAGGCAGCCUGCUGGACUGUAACUGACGCUGAUGCUCGAAAGUGUGGGUAUCAAACAGGAUUAGAUACCCCAGUAGUC